GGAAUAUUGCACAAUGGACGCAAGUCUGAUGCAGUAACGCCGCGUGCGGGAAGAAGACCUUCGGGUUGUAAACCGCUUUUAUAGAGGACGAGUGAGGACGGUACUCUAGGAAUAAGUCUCGGCUAACUACGUGCCAGCAGCCGCGGUAAGACGUAGGAGGCGAGCGUUAUCCGGAUUCACUGGGCGUAAAGCGCAUGUAGGCGGUUCAUUAAGUCCGCGGUUAAAGCCCCCGGCUCAACUGGGGGAGGUCCGUGGAGACUAUUGGACUUGAGGGCAACAGAGGCACGUGGAACUCCCGGUGUAGCGGUGGAAUGCGUAGAGAUCGGGAAGAACACCAGUGGCGAAGGCGACGUGCUGGGUUGCAACUGACGCUGAGAUGCGAAAGUGUGGGGAGCAAA
rnacentral:rRNA from 1 species